rnacentral:lncRNA from 1 species
GGCACCCACCGCCCGCCCCGCCGCGAUGCCUCCUGCGGGACCCCGCGCUGCCGCCCGGCGCCGGACGGCACCUCGCGUCCACGCGUGACCCACCAGGCUCCCGGGUGUGCCCUGAGAAGCAGGUGAGACACAGGACCCAAGGCCAUGCCCGUGUGGAGUGAGGAGCAGCCCCGCGCUCACCCGUCACUGCAGACACCCUGCGGCCACCGAGCCCCCCCCCGCGCUGCAGCCUCAGCACAGCCAUGGACAGCGCAGAGGUGGAGUCGGACAUCCUGCGCCGCGUCCGCACGCUGCUGCGAGAGCUGGAUGGGCACCACCCCGCCUGCCAGUGCGACCGAGGUAGGACAGACCCAGGCACGGCCCCGGGGUCAGCACCCGCCCCAAACCCACGUCGCUCCCCGGGGUGGAGGGACACGGGGCAGCCUCACCUCCCUGGUGCUGGUCUGCCCUUUCUAACCUGCUCUUGGAGCUGUCUGCCCCUCAGCAGCUUCCAUCCCUCCUCUACGUGGCUCUUACGUCCUUUAUACCCUCCACUUGCCCAGAAGGUCCAACACUGAGGUGGGAUGACAGUGAAUGCCGGAGUCUGUGAUGCUGUUCCCACACAGACCUGCCCAACUCGCUUAACACCCGUGAACUGGGAGUCUCCCUGUCUCUCCCUAUGGGAUAUUGCUUUGCCACAUGCUGCUCAGCUCCUCCUAAAGAGUCAGCUGGAAUCCUCGUGUUAUGGUUUUGGAGAAGCAAACCCUAGCUGACGUGGCAACUGGACUGCUGCAGUCUCAGGAAAUAAAUUCAUUGAAAAACUGAUUUUACUUGGAGUGCAUGGGAUAUUUUACAGUUAAUUAAAUCAAUUUUUGUCUGGAAUGA